rnacentral:lncRNA from 1 species
UACUAACUAAAUGUAUGAUACAAAAGCCUAUCAUAAUUAGUGAUGUGUUUCGGUUGUUGUGGUAUUGAGUCCUAGCAAAUUUCAUAGCAGGUUGAAAUUAAGGGGAGGUAAUACCCCUGUUAACUACUCAUUAUUUGAUAUUUUAUGCAUAAAAUAUUUAAAGGAUAUUGGAUAAUUCAUGCAUGAAAUAUUUAAAAGGUAUUGGAUAAUAAAUUGGGAGCAUAAUCUUUAUGUUGAGUAGUCCAGUUAAAAAAGGUCAAAAACUAAAGCUGUUAAACAGAAUUUUAGAAACCCUUUACAUAGAAUUGUCAAUAUUUUGAGUUGCAGCUGUUUGAUAUUAUUUCUCCUAAGGCCAAUUAAAAUUAAUUGAUAGAUUUUCAUCCCAGACCGCCCUUCUGAAAUUGUCCCGCCCUGAUUUUUUUUUUUUUUUUAAAUUUACGAUUUCCGGAUUUUUUUCAUUUCCGUUACCGGUAACUGUCAAUAAUUUUGUUUCAUUCCAAACAUUGUUUCAUUUGGUCCAAUAUCAGCCGACCUUUUAUCCACCUGCAUUUCAUUUUGGUUGUUGUAUUUCUUCGAGAAAUCUAACUUAAAUGAUUAAGACGACAUAUAAUGUGCUCUAACAUGACAACCUCAUCUACCAAGAAUUGAGAUUGAUUAUGAGAAGGCCAUGAAAUAUUUGGAUCGCGAGUGAAACGCUAAAUUUGCAUUUUGCAUAGGCACCAAUCCUAAUAUUUUCAGCACUGUUUGAGUUUUCAUUUUAUUAUGUAUUUAUAAUACUUGUGUUGCAUACCAAUGCAUUUCCUUCAUUUUCUGGGGACUACAAUCCAUCUCUUAGAAAGGAACGUUCUAGAUGAUAAUUUUUAAGGGUAGAAAAAAUUGUGGUUUACAACCAAUUUUUGCAAAUUUUCAAAAUAUUAGAUUUGUUUUAACCCACAUCUGGUUCUUAAUACGUAAUAUUAUAAUUCAAUCCAAUAAAUCAUCAUGAUUGGAAAAAAGAAAUUAUUGUGAAGAAAGAAAUAAACAUUUUUGUGACAUUUCAGUUAUUUAAAUGGACAGUGGAUUUUGAUAUCAUAAAAACCAAUGUUGAAAAAGCACUUCAAAACAGCUUGAAAUCAAUAUCAGCUCUAAGAAAUAUGGUUAGAGAGAUCUUCAACCAAGUCUGAGGCUUAACCAUAAACUAAAUCAGGCAAGUUUAUUUAAGCCAUACAAUUUUUAUAGAUUUUAUAGAAAUGAAAAUGUACAUGAAAGAACACAAGACAGCAAACAAUAUGUUUAUUUGAAUGUGUUUCAUUCAUAUCUCCAAAAACAAGUUGAUUAUAUAGGGAUCACUGAAGCAUGACUGGAGUGCCCCCCCCCCCCCCCUUUUUUUUUUAGGUCAGUCAGUGGGCCCACCUUAUAAAAAGUACUGGAUCUCCCACUGAUUAAACAUGUUUGUGAAUGCUCAACAAUGCACUAACCUGGGACAAUAAGAAUAAAUGGAAAAAAUGUGGUUCUUUUGGCUUUAUACACUAGAUUUGUAUCAGGCACAUAAAUAACUAACUAAUAUAGAAAGUAGACACAAAUAAAUAAAUCAUGUUUUUUUAACUGAAGUAUAAUAUUCACAGAUCAAUUGAUUUUCAUGGGGUGGAGCCAUGGAUUUUAUAUGAAGCUAGAUUUUUAAGCAAGACAAAAUUUUGUUUUUUACAUCAUUCAUAUCCUAUUUUGCCAAAAAUAAAUCCAGAAUAAUUUGUUUGUAACUGAAUAUGUAGGUCAGAUUAUUUGUUUAAACAUUACAGAUUAGCUUUGGGUUUGUCCAAGGAUUGAGACUGGAAAUGGCAAUUGAAUUAGAUUUUUAAAGUAAGUUUUAAUCAUUACAUAGAUUUUUGAAUUACUGAACUCAAAUAAUGUAAAAUGUGAAUUUGCGUUGGGUAUAAUGUUUUUGACCUGUCUGUCCUGUCCGUCAACCUUGUUCUUGUCAUUGCAACUCCUCUGAAAGCACACACCAGAAUUUCAUAAAACAAUUUAGUACAUACACAAUACUAUGUAGUUGUGCAUGUUUACAAGAAAUUAUGAUUCAAUUUUUUUCUAGGAGUUACGUUAUGCCCCUCUGAACUUAAAAUUUUGGCCAAA